rnacentral:lncRNA from 1 species
GAAUACUUUCUGAAUGCGCUGUACAUGCAACAGCUGAUGUGGAUCAUCAUGGUGGUUACAUGGUUGACAUAUCAGGGACUUUCAUCAUGAACAUUGUCUCAUCGUACUGCUAUUUAGGACUCUCCACUGUCCCAGUAUCUAAAUAAAGCUGCAGCACAAGUGUAAUUGGCAUCCUAAUGAUGAUUAUUAUGGUGUGUGUGUGUGUGUGUGUGUGUCUGUGUCUGUGUCUGUGUCUGUGUCUGUGUCUGUGUCUGUGUCUGUGUGUGUGUGUGUGUGUGUGUGUGUGUGUAGGCUGGAGAGGCUGACGUCAGUGCUGAAACACAAGGAGGAGUUGAUCCGUAAGCUGAAGGAGGAUUUGAGGAUGAAGCAGCAGGUCGAUGAGCACUCAUUUGUGGAGGAUUAUACUUCCAAACAUCGCGGCCACCAGGAGGAGAUUCCGCAGCAGCAGCAGAAAAUUGCUCAGUUAGAGAGCCUUCUAUCCAGCCAACAGGAGGAAGCCGAACGAUGGAAACGGCGCGCUUACAGGCUUAAGGAGGGCCGGCGAGAGGGGGGUCUCCACACGCCCACCAAGCACACACGCCCACCCACACCUACUAAAAACGCGGCCUUGAAACACACACUCCCACUCACGCCCACCAAACCCACGCACGCACAGGCCAAGCCGUCGCCCAGCAAGCGUCCGGCGCUCGGCGAGGCCCCCCUGGUGAACUCCCCCCACUGCCCGCUGCUGGGUUCUCCCAAGAGCCUGUUCUUCGACAUGCCGCCAGGAACCAACGCCCCGCCCGCCUCGCGCACCAAGGGCUUCUUCGACCACCCCACCCUGGCGCCGUCAACAGGGGGAGUCAGCGCGGCCAAGAAGUAUGACUGGAUGCCACGGUCCCCCAAACAGGGUCAACAGUGUGAAACUCAGUGAUCACCCUUGUCCUGUCCAUUUUUUUUUUCCUGUCUUGUUUUUUUUUUAUGUGUAGUAAUAAUUAAUUGUAUAUAAGUUCAAGAAUGGUUCAUUCUUUCUUUUACCAAUAAUUUUCAUACGGAUGGAUUGUCUUGUUAUUAAAGGAGAUUCCACAUUUCAUUAUCCUAUUGUGUUGCUAUGGCCAACAAGUGUCCAUUGUUCCUUGCCUUAUGACCACAACACGCAGCUUGUUCUCUGACACUCAAGCCAGAGACUCACCAAACAAACUAGCUUCGCCUGUGUCUGGGCCAACAAGGUACACUUCAACCACAAAGACUGCAGCCAACGGCCAACUAGCACAUAUGUUCUAAGAUAUGUGUUCACGGCUGUGUUUCAGUGCAAAGGCGAGUUACAACUCUCCUUGAGUACACGGGAGUGACCGAGCAUUUCCGUGAACGGACGUCUAAACUGACACAGUACCAGUACCUGUUUUUGAGAUGUUCUUUGUCGUGUCCUGUCAUGUUCUUAGCAUGUGUAGCCUACUUUUUAACAAGGACAUUACAUUGAAAAUCAGGAACAAACUGUUUACAAACAGCAUUUUUUUGUUUCGUUAAGAUGUUUCUACAAUAUUUCUUCAUCGUACUUGUUGAACUGCCA